GAUGAAGAACGUAGCGAAAUGCGAUAAGUAAUGUGAAUUGCAGAAUUCAGUGAAUCAUCGAAUCUUUGAACGCACAUUGCGCCCGCUAGCAUUCUGGCGGGCAUGCCUGUUCGAGCGUCAUUUCAACCAUCAAGCCCUGUUUAGGCUUGUGUUGGGGCCCUGCGGCUGCCGCAGCCCCCUAAAUGCAGUGGCGGGCUCGUUGUCACUCCGAGCGCAGUAGCGUAUCUCGCUCUGGGCGUGGCGGCGGGUGCUAGCCGUGAAACACCCACUAAGGUUGACCUCGGAUCAGGUAGGAAUACCCGCUGAACUUAAGCAUAUCAAUAAGCGGAGGA
rnacentral:misc_RNA from 1 species